GUGAGGAAUAUUCCGCAAUGGGGGAAACCCUGACGGAGCAAUGCCGCGUGCAGGAUGAAGGCCCUCGGGUCGUAAACUGCUUUUAUAUGAGAAGAAUAUGACGGUAACAUAUGAAUAAGGGACGGCUAACUACGUGCCAGCAGCCGCGGUCAUACGUAGGUCCCAAGCGUUAUCCGGAGUGACUGGGCGUAAAGAGUUGCGUAGGCGGCGCGUUAAGCGUGAAAUGAAAUUUAUCGGCUCAACCGGUAAACUAUGUCGCGAACUGACGGGCUCGAGAGUAUGAGAGGUUACUGGAAUUUCUAGUGUAGCAGUGAAAUGCGUAGAUAUUAGAAAGAACACCAACGGCGUAGGCAGGUAACUGGCAUACAUCUGACGCUGAGGCACGAAAGCGUGGGGAGCGAACCGGAUUAGAAACCCCAGUAGUCC
rnacentral:rRNA from 1 species